UACGUAGGGUCCGAGCGUUGUCCGGAAUUAUUGGGCGUAAAGGGCUCGUAGGCGGUUGGUCACGUCGGGAGUGAAAACUCAGGGCUCAACCCUGAGCGUGCUUCCGAUACGGGCCGACUAGAGGUAUGCAGGGGAGAACGGAAUUCCUGGUGUAGCGGUGGAAUGCGCAGAUAUCAGGAAGAACACCAAUGGCGAAAGCAGCUUUCUGGGACGGUACUGACGCUGAGACGCGAAAGCGUGGGGAGCGAACAGG
rnacentral:rRNA from 1 species